GGUCCCUUCACAUCUAUCUCUCUCAAUGUUUUGCUUUUUGCUUUAAUUGUUCAACAUAUGAUAAUUAGGGUUUUAUUUGGUGAGUGUUACAAUGACCAAUACGUUCUUCCACUAUUUUGUGACGAAGAAAUUCUGAUAGGGUCGAUUGCAAAGAAGGGGUUGCAGCAGUACUUGCUUCAGCUUCAACAUCACCCAGAACCAAGGCAAUUACAGUGGAGGUUUUGUCAAUGAUCAGUGACAUAGUGUUGCAGAAGCUCAUCGGUAUUCAGAAACUUCAGAUAAGACGGCUCCUUCUCAAAGUGAUGUUCGAUUAUGAAUUAUAUAUUUGAGAAACCUUGUGUGAAACUGAUUUCUCUC